rnacentral:misc_RNA from 1 species
UUUCCGUAGGUGAACCUGCGGAAGGAUCAUUACAGAGUUCAUGCCCUCACGUGUAGAUCUCCCACCCUUGAAUAUUUAUACCUUAGUUGCUUUGGCAGGCCGUGGAAACACCAUGGGCUCCGGCUUAUGCGUGCCUGCCAGAGGAAACAAACUCUGUUUUUAGUGAUGUCUGAGUACUAUAUAAUAGUUAAAACUUUCAACAACGGAUCUCUUGGUUCUG